rnacentral:rRNA from 1 species
AAACGACGUCUAAUACUGGAUAUGUUCACUGGCCGCAUGGUCUGGUGGUGGAAAGAUUUUUUGGUUGGGGAUGGACUCGCGGCCUAUCAGCUUGUUGGUGAGGUAAUGGCUCACCAAGGCGACGACGGGUAGCCGGCCUGAGAGGGUGACCGGCCACACUGGGACUGAGACACGGCCCAGACUCCUACGGGAGGCAGCAGUGGGGAAUAUUGCACAAUGGGCGAAAGCCUGAUGCAGCAACGCCGCGUGAGGGAUGACGGCCUUCGGGUUGUAAACCUCUUUUAGUAGGGAAGAGAGCGAAAGUGACGGUACCUGCAGAAAAAGCACCGGCUAACUACGUGCC